UGGGGAAUCUUCCGCAAUGGACGAAAGUCUGACGGAGCAACGCCGCGUGAGUGAAGAAGGUUUUCGGAUCGUAAAACUCUGUCUUUUGGGGCGAACGUGAGUAUGGUGAACAAUCAUAGUCAGUGACGGUACCAAAGGAGGAAGCCACGGCUAACUACGUGCCAGCAGCCGCGGUAAUACGUAGGUGGCAAGCGUUGUCCGGAAUUAUUGGGCGUAAAGAGCGCGUAGGCGGGAUAGUCAGUCUGUUGUAAAAGUGCGGGGCUCAACCCCGUGAUCGCAAUGGAAACAGCUAUUCUUGAGUGCAGGAGAAGGAAAGUGGAAUUCCCAGUGUAGCGGUGAAAUGCGUAGAUAUUGGGAGGAACACAGUGGCGAAGGCGACUUUCUGGACUGUGUCUGACGCUGAGGCGCGAAAGCCAGGGGAGCGAACGGGAUUAGAUACCCCGGUAGUCCUGGCCGUAAACGAUGGGUACUAGUGUGGGAGGUAUCGACCCCUUCCGUGCCGGAGUUAACGCAAUAAGUACCCCGCCUGGGGAGUACGGUCGCAAGACUGAAACUCAAAUGAAUUACGGGGGUCAUAGCUGUUUCCUG
rnacentral:rRNA from 1 species